rnacentral:rRNA from 1 species
UGGGGAAUAUUGCACAAUGGGCGCAAGCCUGAUGCAGCCAUGCCGCGUGUGUGAAGAAGGCCUUCGGGUUGUAAAGCACUUUCAGCGGGGAGGAAGGCGUUAAGGUUAAUAACCUUGGCGAUUGACGUUACCCGCAGAAGAAGCACCGGCUAACUCCGUGCCAGCAGCCGCGGUAAUACGGAGGGUGCAAGCGUUAAUCGGAAUUACUGGGCGUAAAGCGCACGCAGGCGGUCUGUCAAGUCGGAUGUGAAAUCCCCGGGCUCAACCUGGGAACUGCAUUCGAAACAGGCAGGCUAGAGUCUUGUAGAGGGGGGUAGAAUUCCAGGUGUAGCGGUGAAAUGCGUAGAGAUCUGGAGGAAUACCGGUGGCGAAGGCGGCCCCCUGGACAAAGACUGACGCUCAGGUGCGAAAGCGUGGGGAGCAAACAGG